GUUAUAGUUUAUUUGAUACAUUAAAUGGAUAACUGUAGAAAAACUAGAGCUAAUACAUGCCAAGGCCGCAAGGUCGUAUUUAUUAGAUAACUUAAAUAUGAAUCAUAUUAACUUAUCAAAUCUCAUUUUCAUUGAGAUAUAUCAUCCAAGUUUCUGCCCUAUCAUCUUUCUAUGGUAGUGUAUUGGACUACCAUGGCUCUCACGGGUAACAGGGAAUUAGGGUUCGAUUCUGGAGAAGGAGCCUGAGAAACGGCUACUACAUCUACUGAAGGCAGCAGGCGCGUAAAUUACCCAAUCCUGACUCAUGGAGGUGGUGACAAGAUAUAAUGACGCUAUGAAAAAUAGUGAUUAUAGUGAGGGUAUUCCAAACCGAACCACAAGUACGAUUAGAGGGCAAGUCUGGUGCCAGCAGCCGCGGUAAUUCCAGCUCUAAUAUCGUAUAUUAAAGUUGCUGCAGUUAAAAAGCUCGUAGUUGGAUUUCAAGGAACACGUAUUCCCCCGGAGUAUGUGCCCUACUAGCCCUGGGCUGUUACUGUGAGAAAAUUA
rnacentral:rRNA from 1 species